CAGAGGGUGCUAGCGUUGUUCGGAAUUAUUGGGCGUAAAGCGCGUGUAGGCGGCCUGGCAAGUUGGGUGUGAAAGCCCUCGGCUUAACCGAGGAAGUGCGCCCAAAACUACUAGGCUUGAGUACCGGAGAGGAUAGUGGAAUUCCCGGUGUAGAGGUGAAAUUCGUAGAUAUCGGGAGGAACACCAGUGGCGAAGGCGGCUAUCUGGACGAGUACUGACGCUGAGACGCGAAAGCGUGGGGAGCAAACAGGAUUAGAUACCCUGGUAGUCCACGCCGUAAACGAUGAGCGCUAGGUGUUGCGGGUGUUGACCCCUGCAGUGCCGCAGCUAACGCAUUAAGCGCUCCGCCUGGGAAGUACGGCCGCAAGGCUA
rnacentral:rRNA from 1 species